rnacentral:rRNA from 1 species
UACGGAGGGUGCAAGCGUUAUCCGGAUUCACUGGGUUUAAAGGGUGCGUAGGUGGGCUGGUAAGUCCGUGGUGAAAUCUCCAAGCUUAACUUGGAAAACUGCCGUGGAUACUAUUAGUCUUGAAUCUCGUGGAGGUAAGCGGAAUAUGUCAUGUAGCGGUGAAAUGCUUAGAUAUGACAUAGAACACCGAUAGCGAAGGCAGCUUGCUACACGAGUAUUGACACUGAGGCACGAAAAGCGUGGGGGAUCAAACAGGAGUUA